ensembl:miRNA
AGCUUGGGAAUAGGGGACAGACACAUGUCCUUCUUUAGAGCUGGCGCCUUGACCUUACAUCAGUGGUGUCCGAGAGCUGCUAUCUGAGAGACGGAACAAGGCCCUGAGUCUCCCCCUUCUG